UACGGGGGGGGUAAGCGUUGUUCGGAAUUACUGGGCGUAAAGGGUUCGUAGGUGGCUCGCUAAGUCAGACGUGAAAUCCCUCGGCUCAACCGGGGAACUGCGUCUGAGACUGGAGAGCUUGAGUGCAGGAGAGGAACGCGGAAUUCCAGGUGUAGCGGUGAAAUGCGUAGAUAUCUGGAGGAACACCGGUGGCGAAGGCGGGUCUCUGGGCCGAUACUGACGCUGAGGAGCGAAAGCGUGGGGAGCGAACAGG
rnacentral:rRNA from 1 species